CUGCCGAUACAGUUAAUACUUUCGAUCGGCAUCAUUUCAUCUUGCACCUAGCAAUACUCACCGCCACCUAGCUUUCCGCUACCCUGGGUGCAGGACACAAGUUCCUAGCUUCAACAGACUUAUUCAGGGCCUACCUUAACAGUCUUUGGAGGCAGCAUGUCCCAGUCCUCGAAGAGAGAGCCCGAGGCAACCUCCUUCAGGUCGACGUAAACCUGCACCAGUGGGAACCCAGAGACGCCCGUCGGUUACAGAUUCCGCUUUUAAGGACAAGCACUGCAUUACAUAAACUUUAAUUACCUUGUAAGUGUUGUCGGGCUUAAUCACCAGGGUGUAAACGUGCGUCAGCUGAUCAGACUCCGCCUUCAGGUCCUUCUUGAUCAAGUAAUUCUUACCCUUGUAAGUAAGAAUGACAUGAAUCUUGCGAGUAGAGUAGCCGCAAAUAUCAGGACCGAACAUGACGGAGUAG
rnacentral:lncRNA from 1 species